AAAAAGCUCGUAGUCGGAUGUCGGGCUUGGGCAGGCUGUCGGCUUUUGUCGGACGGCAGGCUCGGGCCUUUCUGCCUGGGGACCGCGUCACACUUCACUGUGGGGCGUUGGGACGCAGGCCGUUUACUUUGAAAAAAUUAGAGUGUUCAAAGCAGGCCUACGCUUGAAUACAUUAGCAUGGAAUAAUGGAAUAGGACUUUGGUGCCAUUCUGUUGGUUUAUGGAACCGAAGUAAUGAUUAAUAGGGACAGUUGGGGCCGUUUAUAUUUCGUUGUCAGAGGUGAAAUUCUUGGAUUUACGAAAGAUAAACUUCUGCGAAAGCAUUCGGCAAGGAUGUUUUCAUUGAUCAGAACGAAAGUUAGGGGAUCGAAGACGAUCAGAUACCGUCGUAGUCUUAACCAUAAACUAUGCCGACUAGGGAUCAGUGGAUGUCAUUUGCGACUCCCAUUGGCAACCUUGUGAGAAAUCAAGUUUUUGGGUUCCGGGGGGAGUAUGGUCGCAGGCUGAAACUUAAAGGAAUUGACGGAAGGGCCCCCCCGGAGUGGAGCUGCGGC
rnacentral:rRNA from 1 species